AGCAGCCGCGGUAAUUCCAGCUCCAAUAGCGUAUAUUAAAGUUGUUGCAGUUAAAAAGCUCGUAGUUGAAUUUCGGGAUCAAUCUGCCGGUCGUGCCUCCGGUAUGCACUGGUUUUAUUGGUUUCUCCCUUCUGACGAAUCAUGAUGUCAUUAAUUUGGUGUCAUGGGGAAUCAGGACUGUUACUUUGAAAAAAUUAGAGUGUUUAAAGCAGGCUCACGCUUGAAUACAUUAGCAUGGAAUAAUGAAAUAGGACGUUUGACCCUAUUUUGUUGGUUUCUAGGAUCGACGUAAUGAUUAAUAGGGAUAGUUGGGGGCAUUAGUAUUCAAUUGUCAGAGGUGAAAUUCUUGGAUUUAUUGAAGACUAACUACUGCGAAAGCAUUUGCCAAGGAUGUUUUCAUUAAUCAAGAACGAAAGUUAGGGGAUCGAAGAUGAUCAGAUACCGUCGUAGUCUUAACCAUAAACUAUGCCGACUAGGGAUCGGAUGAUGUUAUUUUUUAAUGACUCAUUCGGCACCUUAC
rnacentral:rRNA from 1 species